CAUGUGAGUUCCUUUUUGUAUCAGGUCGGGAACGAUGAGGUGCUGUGGAGGCUGCGGGCUGUGAUGGGGGCGCGGGCCUCUCCGUGUUGUAUUAAUAUGGAGCUCGGGUGAAGCCUGUUUGUUAAUAGACUUGCUAUGUAGAGGACGAGGCGUGCGGGGGCGCUGCAGAGCGCGCAGGACCAUUUUGACUACGCCAGGGCAGCCAAUGGACCUUGGAUCUCCUGUGGAGGUGUAAAGCAGCGCCUUUAAUGUACAAUGUGACUAGUGAAUGGGUCAGAAGAUGAACAUAUACUUGUCGAAGUCUAUAUUUCAGGUGACUGGCGUGGAGGAUCUUGUGAAUGUCUCCAUAUCAGGUUCGUCUUUGAAGUGAGUAAAGCUUGGCUACUGUAAAUCUGAAUGUCUUUAAAUAAAAUAUUUGAAUUGAAA